rnacentral:rRNA from 1 species
UACGGGAGGCAGCAGUAGGGAAUCUUCCGCAAUGGACGCAAGUCUGACGGAGCAACGCCGCGUGAGUGAUGAAGGUUUUCGGAUCGUAAAGCUCUGUUGCCAGGGACGAAAAGCAUGGAGAGUAACUGCUCUGUGUGUGACGGUACCUGAGAAGAAAGCCCCGGCUAACUACGUGCCAGCAGCCGCGGUAAUACGUAGGGGGCAAGCGUUGUCCGGAAUUAUUGGGCGUAAAGCGCGCGCAGGCGGCUACUUAAGUUUGGUGUAUAAUCCCGGGGCUCAACCCCGGUCCGCAUCGAAAACUGGGUGGCUUGAGUGCGGGAGAGGAAAGUGGAAUUCCACGUGUAGCGGUGAAAUGCGUAGAGAUGUGGAGGACACCAGUGGCGAAGGCGACUUUCUGGACCGAACUGACGCUGAGCGCGAAAGCGGGGGAGCAACAGGAUAGAUACCUGGUAGCCACGCCGUAACGAUG